UCUGAGGGACUGAUCCAAAGGCUAUUGAGGUCAAUGGGAGUCUUUCCAUUGAUUUCGAUGGCCUUUGGAUCAGACCCUAAAAGA
rnacentral:pre_miRNA from 1 species